rnacentral:rRNA from 1 species
GACCGUGCAAAGGUAGCAUAAUCAUUUGUCUUUUAAUUAAAGGCUUGUAUGAAUGGUUGGAUGAGAUAUAAUCUAUUUUUAUUUAAUUAAAAAUGAAUUUUAAUUUUUAGUAAAAAUGCUAAAAUAAAAAAUAUAGACGAGAAGACCCUAUAAAUCUUUAUUAUUUUUUGAUUAAUUUAUUAAUAGAAUAAUAAAUUUAUUAAUUAAAAAAUAAUUUUAUUGGGGUGAUAAUGAAAUUUAAUAAACUUUUAUUUUAUUUUAUAAAUAUAAUUAAUUUAAUGAUCCAUUUUUAAUGAUUAUAAAAUUAAGUUACUUUAGGGAUAACAGCGUAAUUAUUUUAAAGAGUUCAUAUCGAUAAAAUAGUUUGCGUUUUCCCCUCAAAGGAAUAGAGUACCAUGACCGUGCAAAUUAACUGAU